GCCGACUUAGCUCAGUUGGUAGAGCAGCCGCCUUGUAAGCGGCAGGUCGUCGGUUCAAACCCGACAGUCGGCUCCA
rnacentral:tRNA from 1 species